UUUAAAGAUUGUAUGCCAUCAAGGAUGGACCACAAACUUAAUGCAUUAAUUUCUGUGCACCCUGAAAGGUCUAGUUCCGUAACAAACCCAAGUCCAUGAUCAUCUGAUAACUUAUUCCCGACAAUGUUAAGCUUGUUACAUCCAGUUAGGUUAAUAACAGUCAUUUUGGUAUUACGCCAAAUUGAUGAAGACAAUUGAUGUAUAUCAGUGCCACAUAAGGAUAACUCUGUCAUUUCCUCCGAUGUCACUGAAAAUUCCAUGAGAGAUGAACAACCAUCAAGUUUAAGGUUUCGGAGAGAAUUUGAAUGAAUAUUGGUUUUAAGGCUUUCGAUCUUUAUGCAACCUCCUAAAUCUAGUACAAUAAGUCGAGGGAGAGAAAAGAUGUAUGGAUGGAGAUGACGCAGGCUUUCACAUUUAUAGAGAUGUACUUUUUCAAGAUUUGUAGCCCUAGAUAAGUUUGGGAUCUCAAUCAGAUCUUUGGAGUAAUUAAGGCUAAAUGUGAUUAGAUUCACAAGAUUCUGUAACAAGAAAUAAACAUGCAUUAGUGUCGAUUAAAAGAGAAACAAAACCUAGUUAAGAAUAAACAGAAGCAUGCCAUACUAACUCUGCUGCAUUUUUGUGAAUGACAUUAGACUUCCUCUUGUACCUCUAUAAAGUUAACAAGUACAUCCAAACAUUUUGUACCUGAACUCCAUCCCAGAGCUUUUUAAGCUUGCUAUGAGUCAUGUGAAGCUCUACAAGCAUUUCAGCACAAAAGUUUGAUGGAAAAGACUCAGGACAAUAUCCCUCCCAUUGAAGGUACCUCAAUUUAUCAGAAAGCCACUCGAGACCAUCAGGAAAAUGUACAUUGCAUAUGCUCCCGUUGGAUAUAUUAUGAAUCUUAAGAUAUCUUAAGUUUGUCAUCCUUCUAAAGGAAUCAGACUUCAAGUAUAGAUCCCCAACUUCCGUACUAUCGAAUAUUAUACCUUCCCCAACUUUAGUUCCCUGACAACGAAAAUUAGAUUAAUAAUUAGGAAAGGCUGUCAUAUGUACUUUCAUUGUUAUAUUUUAUAAUUACAUACAUAUAUUUUCAUAUAUAAGUGAUUGCAUCCUCUGCUUACCUUGUUUUCUUUUAAUAUAUCAGAUAUUUCUUUAGCUCUCCACAACCGACUUCGUUUUCCAGGGUUUAUAGAUUCUUGAUUAACAAUCUCCUGUCCCAUUUCUUGUAACAAAUCAUGUAUAUGUAAACUAUCAACUUCCAACUUGGCAUACGAGUGCCAAUUUGGUUUUACUUGUAUGAGAGCUUUAUCUAAAACGACUUCUAUCCCACUUUCUGCAAAGAACUCACAAGCUUCCAACAAAUCUAUUAUAAAUAUUUUAUGCUCUCCUCUCAAAAAGCAUGCAAUAUCUAAAAAUAUGGCCUGUUGAAAAAAAUCUAAGUCAUCAUAACUGAAUUUUAACACGAUAUAAAUUUUCCUAUUUGGAAUCUUUUCGAGCUUUUUCAAUUCAUUUUCCCAUGCCUCUUUGCCUCUUGAGCGGAGAUUUACCCCUAAAACUUUUAAAGCCAGAGGAUUGCCUUUGCAAUAGGCAAUUACACUUUCUGAUAGAUCUUCAUAUCCAAUUUUAGGCUGUUUUCCUCCGAAGGCAUUCAAACUGAAUAGCUGAAGAGAAUCAUGAUUGUUCAAUUACAUGACCUCAUAUAUCUCACAUUUACUGAACUGACUAAAUAUGUGCUUAUCUCUAGUUGUCAUAAUGACCCUACUACCCGGUCCCAGCCCAUCAAUUUUUAGGAUAAGAUCUUCUAUUUGCUCUAAGGUUUCUAUGCCAUCUAACACAAUUAAAACUUUAAUUUUACGUGAAAUCCUUCUCUUGGAUAAAGUGGCUUCUAUGUAGGAUGCAUCAGGAUGAAUAUUUUCCUCCUCUAACAAUGAGGAUAAAAGUUUAUUGUAUACAACAUUAUGUCCAUACCUGUUUGAUUCAUCCAUUACAUUGAGAAAGCAACAACCUUCAAAUUGAGAAUAAAUUAUAGCAUAUGAAGCCCUAGCAAGAGUGGUCUUUCCUAUGCCACCCAUGCCCCAUAUUCCAAGGACUCUAACAUCAUUUGAGCCAAUUUUCAGUAUUGACUCAAUUUGGUCAUAAUUUUUCUCAACUCCAACAAGCCCCUUAAUUUCACAUGGGUAACUAAGAUUCAGUUUCCGCAAAACAUAUUUAACAAUGUCCUUAAUGAAGUCCGAUUCGAUCCUAGAAUAUGAAAGAGAGGAAGAAGAUUUUACAAGUCUAACAAAUACAAUAGUAGAAAAGUACAUCUAUAUGAUUAGUAUACAAAAUUUAUAGUCAAUAAGGUGACAGUGGCUUAGUAGAGCAAGAAACAAACAAAAAUUAGAUUUGGGGAAACAAAAUACCAAAGACACAAGGUAAUAAAUGUAUAUUUUCUAUGACUUUGGUAGUUUUCAGAAGGUUGUGUCAACUAUUACUUUGGCCUGUUUAUUUUCAAAAAUUAUUUUUAGUGUUUGUUUUCUAAAAUUUAUGUUCAUUUCCAAUUAAGAAAAUGGAGAUGAAAGACUCAUGUAGUAAAUAGCUGUGCUAUAUUAGAAAACAAAACAUGUAAAUGAUAUGAAAUAGUUUAUUUAUUUUACUUCGAAUUUUUUCGUUUUGUUUACCUGUAAUUUUGAGAGUCCCAACCAACUAAACUAGCUGCCUCAGUGAGUGCAUCUUUCCAUUCCUGUAACUUGUCAUUAUUGCUCUUCAAAUCUCGCUUAUGUUUUGCGAAGGCUUGCUUGUAACUCCCAGUCUGCUUCCUCACAUGUGAUGGAUCUAUGUUGUAAAAAACAGGUAUCACAAUCUGUACCAUAUAUUUCUUGCAUUCAAGAAUCUUUUUGAGCUCAUUCAAGCACCAUUUUGAGGAAGCAUAGUUUUCUGAGAAGAUGACAAUAGACACAUGUGACUCCUCAAUGGCUCUGAUGAGUGCUGGCGAUAUCUUAUCUCCUUUUUGAAGCUCAUUGUUGUCUAUAAAGGUUUCAACUUUCUUUCGGCUCAGAGCAUCAUAAAGAUGGCAUGUGAAGUUUCUGCGGGUAUCCUCACCUCGAAAGCUAAGAAAAACGUCAUAUUUUUUCACAGAUGCCACAGAAGAAGAAAAAACACUGUUUGUUUGCUUCCUAGCCAUUAUGAAUUCCAAGCGCUGCGCUAAUCACAAUGCUACACUCAAACAUAAAAAAUAUUUGAUGUUUAAAUUUGUUCUCGGUUACUAUUUGUACUGGCACUCGUGAUAGUGUUACAUAUUGAGAUUUAUAAAUCAGAUUGACAUCAGAUCAGGCAGUUCAAAGUCCACAUAUUGCUCAUAUAUCGACCUAGGUAAUGUGUAUUUUUUGAUCUAGGAAAGCUAUAGAAUAUGGCAAUUCCACGGGCCAGAUUAAUUAUUACUUCACAUUCAUAGGCUAUUUAAGUCUAGUUUUAUGUAUGGACUCCAAUCAUGUUUAACCUUGUUGCUUGAAUUGAAUUCUAGGUUUUAUCAGGGUUUCUCUUCAUUAGCCUUUUAAACAUUGAGUAGUAAUUAACAAAUAUGAAGACUAACUUAGCAUUCAUUCUUCAGAACCAAUUUGAAAGACUAAUUUGAAAUAUUUGCCAAUAUUGAUUUCAAAUUCAAGGAUAAAAUUAUGAAUAAACUACAAUUAGAGAAACUAACUAGUUAAAUUAUAAUUGACGGAAAAUAGAUCAUACCAAAGUCAGAAUCCAGCAAUAAUUGAGGAGGAAAAGAAUGUACAAUGACAGUCACAAUCCCAGCAGGGCAAUUAGCUUCUACCGGAAUCAAUAAAUAGCUUCUACCGGAAUCAAAAGCAGGCCUAACCAAAUAAUUCCAAUAAUUUAGAUGAAUGUCUUUAGACACCAAUUUUUUCAUUUUUAAGUGUUUAGGUACAACAGUUCAUAAUGCUUUGGUCGUGAUUUUAUAUGGAUUGAUCAAAAUUAAAAUAUAAAAUAACAUGUGGAUUUCAUGGUUUCCCUUCAUAGAAGUUUCGAUUCCAAUGCGUAGUCAGAUCAGAUGCAUAAAUGUGCAAGACGCCGGCUGAUUAAAAUAUGGCUACAAGAGGAUAUAUAUUUAGAGAGAAUUCAAAUCCUUCUAAGUAAAUUUUAUUGUUUGGAUGAUUAAUUUAGAGAAUUUUUUAAUUUAAUGAAAUUUUAUAAAGUAUUUUGUUCAAGUUAAAUUGAGUGAAUUUCAAAUGACAAAUAAGAUCUAGGAAUUUCAAAUUUCAAGUAUCAUUGUAACAUACAUUUUACUUUGAAAACCUGGUUACUUUUUCUUAUCUAGUUAAAAUAAAUAAAUUUCAAGUAUUGUAAGUGCUGGGUUGAAAGAGAUGUGGUUUGAUCAUUAUGUAGGAUAAAAAAAAUAAAAAAAUAAAAAAAUAAAAUAAAAAAAUCAUGAAUAAAUGUUACUCACUCCAUCUCAAAAUAUAUAAUUUGCUGAGUUUCUGCCUAAUUUCAAUACAUGAUAAUUAGUCUAACAGAUAACUUAGUCUGCAUGAUGCCAAGUUGAUUUCCAAAUUUGGCAUACGGCAUAAAAUACCUUACCUUCCCCAGUCAGUUUGGCAAAGUGGUAAGUUCUUAUUGGUUGUCAGUGUGAAAGAAAUUUACACCGACAGUGCAUGCCCCUAACUCUAUUGAUAAAUGGUAUUUUACAAUGAUCUGAGUAUAGUUUUGACAGUUGACAUCAUUGGAAUGGGAAAUUUUUAGUUGACAAUGCCAAAUACAGUAAGAACUGUAAACAAUAGAACCAACAUUAUAGACUGUUAUUUUGUGGGAAACACCAAUAUCUUAGACCUGUAUCAUUUAAACAGGAAAACCCAUUUACAGAACCAUUGUUCUUCUUAUGUUUCUUUCAUAUGACUCAACCAUGAAAAUCGAGCAGCUACUGCAGAAAGGGGAAAGAGAAACGGGAAUGAAAAUUCUUUUGGCGGUAAAGCGUAUUAUGCUUGGAGAAAGUGGCGCUUCAACCAUUAUGAUCAAGAACAUGAAACCACAAGGGAAUAGGGAUCCAUACACAAAUUGAUUAAUAUACCAACAAGUUCAGCACAAAAAAACUGAAUAAAAUUAGGAAUAUUUCUGAAAUGGUAUAAGUAACAAGCAACGUAUCACAAGAUUUUACAUGAAAAACAGGAGAAAGAGAUCACAACAUUUCUGACUUGUAUUAUUCUUUUGACCCUCUUAGCAAGUGCCUCAAAAAAAGACCUGUCCAGGAAUCAUGAGAAUUUUAAAACAAUUAUUCAUUUGAAGGAUUAAACUCUUUCUAUAUCAAAAUAAACUAAUAUGGAAUUUAUAAUUAGAAAGUAGAUGAGAAGAUUCAUACCGAUUGAACAGCAAGGAUGUUUCUGGUCAUCUUCAUUUUCAAUGUUGGAGCUUAUGACUUCACCUCCAAUUGCUGAAGGCUGUAACUCAUCAUUAUAAUUUUCCUGGCCAUCUUCAAUUUCAUUGUUAGACCAAUAAGACCUGUCAGAAUAUUGAUUACUGAAUUUUAAUUUACCAAUUUCCCUACCAGCCAGAUCCGACUUAUGUUCUAAGUUAUAUACAGGUAAGAUCCCACACCCUUUGAUCCCCUCCGUUGACCACCCCAAUUCUACGUUAUGUAUGAAUUGAAAUGAUAGUUUACAAUCAUUACUUCCAAAUUUUUCUCUUUUGUAACAAUACCAACAUAACAAUACAUGAUCUGAAAUUAAUCUCACAAUAUAAAGGGCAAAACAAAUAAUACACCUGUCGACUUCUUUGCCGUGUUCUAAGAUGAUACAAUGCAGGGGGUGACUCUGAAAAAGGAAGCCCUCAGAAAGAAUGGUGCAGAAUAUGAAACCAGACAGGUUAUAUUUUGGAAUAGGAGGAAUGGUUAUUGAAGCCUUCAUUGUUUGAAAAUCAAACUUGCAAGGAACUUGUGCUCCUGGCCAGAAAAGGUAAUUGGCAUCUUUAUUUACAUGAAAAGGGUCUUUAGAGAAAAUUUGUACCAUGUUCUCAAGAAAUGACCGUUGAGUGGAGUCUGUAUCCAGAUAAGUGCAAUUAAUGCCACUCAAAGUUAUUAGGGAUGACGGAAGUUCUGUUAGAGACACAAGUUUCCUGCAACCAUCUAAAUCAAGCCAUUUUAGCAUUGAAUGGUUUCGGAUAUUCUCAGGGAGACAUUCCAAGUUGCAACACUCUUGUAAUGUUAGCCCUUUUAAAGAUUGUAUGCCAUCAAGGAUGGACCACAGACUUAAUGCAUUCAUUUCUGUGCACCCUGAAAGGUCUAGUUCUGUAACAGACCCAAGUCCAUGAUCAUCUGAUAACUUAUUCCCAACAAUGUUAAGCUUGUUACACUUGGAUAGGCCAAGCGAAGUAAGUUUUCUAUUACGCCAAAUCGAUGAAGACAAUUCACGUAUAGCAGUGCCACCUAAGGUCAACUCUGUCAUUUCAUCCGAUGUCACUGAAAAUUCUGUGAGAGAAUAACAACCAUCAAGUAAGAGUUCACGAAGAGAUUUUGAAUGAAUGUUGGUUUUAAGGCUUUCAAUCUUUUUGCAACCUCGUAAAUCUAGAUAUCUAAGAUCAGGGAGAGAAAAGAUAGAAGAAUGGAGCUGACCCAGGCUUUCACAUUGAAAAAGAUAUACUCUAUGAAGAUUUGUAGCCUUAGAUAAGUCUGGGAUCUCAAUCAGAUUUUUGGAGGAUUCAAGCCAAAGUAUGUUUAGAUUCACAAGAUUCUGUAACAAGAAAUAAAAACACCAUUUAAAUUCAUAAAUAGAGAAACUAAACCUAAUUAAGCAUAAAUAGAGACUUUUUAAGAAUGAGCAUUAGACUUCCUCUCAUACUUCAAAAAAUUAACAAGUAUAUCCAAACACAUUUGUACCUGAACUCCAUCCCAUAGCUUUUUAAGCUUGCUAUGACUCAAGUGAAGCUCUAUGAGCAUUUCAGCACAAAAGGUUGAUGGCAAAAACUCAAGACAGUAUCCUUCCCAUCGAAGAUACCUCAAUUUAUCAGAAAUCCACUCAAGACCAUCGGGAAAGUACACAUUGCAUGUGUUUCCUCUAGAUAUAUUAUAGAUUUUAAGAUAUCUUAAAUUUUUCAUCCUUCUAAAGGAAUUAGACUUCAAGUAAAGAUCCCCCACAUCUGUACUAUCGAAUGUUAUCCCUUCGACAGCUUCAGUUCCCUGAUAAAAAUUACAUUAAUAAUUAGGAAUGAUUGUCACAUAUACUUUCCUUGUUAUAUUUCAUAAUCACAUAGAUGUGUUAUUUUGAUGUAGAAGGGAAUAGAUCCUCUACUUACUUUGUUAUAUUUUAAUACAUCGGAUAUCUCUUCAGCUUUCCACAGUCGACUUCGUUUUCCAGGAUCUUCAGAUUCUUGAUUAACAAUCUCCCGUCCCAUUUCUUGUAACAAAUCAUGCAUUUCUAUAGUACAAACUUCCCUUUUGACAUGCAAAAUUGAAUCUAGUUGAAUGAGAGCUUUAUCUAGAAGGACGUCUAUCCCACUUAUUGCAAAGAAAUCAGAAGCUUCCAGUAGAUCUCUUACAAAAUCUUUACCCUGUCCACUCAACAAGCAUGCGAUGUCUAGAAAUAUGGCCUUUUGACAACGAUCUAACUCAUCAUAACUCAAUUUUAACACAUUAUGAAUUUUUCGAUUGGGAAUCUUUUGGAGCUUUUUCAAUUCAUUUUCCCACGCUUCUUGGCCCCUUGAACUGAGAUUUGCACCUAAAACUUUUAAUGCCAGAGGGUUACCUUUGCAAUAGGCAAUUACACUUUCUGAUAGAUCUUCAUAUCCAAUUUUAGGUUGUUUUUCUUUGAAGGCAGUCAAACUGAAUAGCUGAAAAGAAUCAUGCUUGUUCAAUUCUUUAAGCUCAUAUAUUUCACAUUUACUCACCUGACUAAAUAUGUGCUUAUCUCUAGUUGUAAUAAUGACCCUACUACCUGGUCCCAGACCAUCAAUUUUUGGGAUAAGAUCAUCUAUUUGCUCUAAGGUUUCUACACCAUCCAACACAAUUAAAACUUUUUUACGCCCAAUCCUUCUCUCGGAGAAAGGGGCUUCUAUGUAGGAUGCAUCAGGAUGAAUAUUUUCUUCCUCUAACAAUGAAGACAAAAGUUUAUUGAGUACAACAUUAAGUCCAUACUUGUUUGAUUCAUCCAUUACAUUGAGUAAGCAACAACCUUCGAAUUGAGAAUACAUUUUAGCAUAUAAAGCCCUAGCAAGGGUGGUCUUUCCUAUGCCACCCAUGCCCCAUAUUCCAAGGACUCUGACUUCAUGUGACCCAAUUUUCAGCUUUGAUUCAAUUUGGUCAUAAUUUUUCUCAAUUCCAACAAGCCCGGCCUUAAUUUCAUAUGGGUAUUUAAGAUUCAGUUUCUGCAAAACAUCUUCAACGAUAUCCUUAAUGAAGCGUGAUUCAGUCCUAGCAUACGAAAGAGGGGAAGAAGGUUUGAUAAGUCUACAAAUACAAUGGAAGGAAAAUACAUCUAUAUGAUUGGUAAAUAAAAUUUAUAGUCGACAUGGUGGCACUGGCAGUUCCUUAGCAGAGCAAGAAAGAAAGAAAAUUAGAUUUGAGGAAAUAAAUACCAAUGAUAGAGAAUGUAAUUAAUGUCUAAAUUUUCUAGGAAGUGAAAUCCUAAUGAAAAUUCGAAAAAAAUAAAUAAAUGUUUUAUGCUAGAAAUAUAACACAACUGUGUGGGAUGGAUAGUGCAGAUUUCAAAAAUUGUGUGUAUGCAGGGUACAAGCAUAUGAUUAUUAAAUAGUUUUCAGAAGGUCAUAUCAACUAUGGCCAGGCACAUAAACAUCAUUGUUCACUUCUCCAAAUAAUUCGGCCUGUUUACUUUCUAAAAUUAAUUUUAGCUUUCAUUUUUUAAAAUCUAUGUUCAUUUCCAACCAUGAAUAAGGAGAUGAAAGACUCAUGUAGUAUAUAAUUGUGCUAUAUUAGAAAACAAAACAUGAAAAUUAUAUAAAAUAGUUUAUUGGUUUUACUUAGAAUUUUGAGAACAUACAAGUCAUGGCAUGUACAAAGCUCGAUAGUUCGUUUUACUUACUCAAAAUUUUGAAAGUCCCAACCGCCUAAACUAGCUGCCUCAGUGAGAGCGGCUUUCCAUUCCUGUAACUUGUCAUUAUUGCUCUUCAAAUCUCGCUUAUGUUUUGCAAAAGCUUGCUCGUAACUCCCGGUCUGGUUCCUCACAUGUGAUGGAUCUAUUUUGUAAAAAACUGGUAUCACAAUGUGUUCCUUAUAUUUCUUGCAUUCAAGAAUCUUCUUGAGCUCAUUCAAGCACCAUUUUGAAGAAGCAUAGUUUUCUGAGAAGAUGACAAUAGAUGCAUGUGACUUCUCAAUGGCUUUGAUGAGUGCUGGCGAGAUCUCAUCUCCUUUUUGAAGCUUAUUGUUGUCUAUAAAGGUUUCAACUUUCUUUCGGCUCAGAGCAUCAUAAAGAUGGCUGGUGAAGUUUCUGCGAGUAUCCUCACCUCGAAAGCUAAGAAAAACGUCAUAUUUUUUCAGAGGCACCACAUCAGAAGAAGAUAUGGAAGAAAAAGCACUGCUCAUUUUCUACCUAGUGAUUAUGAAUUCCAAGUGCCUGCACUAAUCACAAUGCUACACUCAAAAAUAAAAUAAAAAUUUAUGUUUAAAUGUGUUCUUGAUACUUGUCAAUGAUAUUUUUGACAGGUACUCGGUUCAUAUAUCUGAUUGACAUCAGAUCAAGCAGUUCAAGGUUCACAUAUUGCUCAUCUAUGGAUAUAAUAAAUAAACAGCAUUUGUUAUUUCAAGUCGUUUGUGAUUCUUGGAAAUUUGUUUGUCUUAUAUUAAUGGCUUGCUUAUGAUGUGGAAAACCUAUACAGUUAUUUUGAAGAUGAAAAAACUUGAAUAGACAUUAAAAGCUUAAUGACAUGAAAUAGUAAAGAAUCUUAACAUUUUUUUGAAUGACAAAUCCUAGUAGUUAGUUGUUAGAUUAAGUAUUGACUAUUUCGUCCAGGUUUGAACCGAGAGUCUCCAACUUCUUAUCCGUGAGUUCAAAUUUCAAACCAGUUGAGCUACUCAACCUCCCAAAUAAAAAAACUUAACUCAGAUUAAGUGAAGAGCAACCAAAAUAAAACAUAGAAUUCAAUUCAAGCAACAAGGUUAAGCAUCAUUGGAGUCCAUACAUAAAAUUAGUCAUAAAUAACCAGCCUAUGAAUGUAAAGCAAAAACAAAUCUGGCCCAUGUAUGAUACUUUUUUCUCAAGCAGCAUUUUCAGAUACAAAACAGAGUAAUUUCCUAAUCAGUAAAAAUGGGGUACAAAUAAGAAAUAUGAAGACUAAUUAAACAUUCAUAUACAAUUCUUGAAGACCAAUUUAAUCUUAUAAGUUAAAUUAAAAUUGAUGGAAAAAAGAUGAUACCAAAGUCAGAUCCAGCUUAAUGCAAUAGAGGAGAAAAAGACUGUAUGGCUUAGCUUCUGCUGGAAUCAAUUUUGGAUCAAAAUAACAAAUGUGAUUUCACUGUUAUGCAAUCCUAAGUAAAAUGGCUUCAUUGCUCUUUAACAGAUACCAUAAGAUAAAAUAUACUGUAACAUACAGUAACCUUGUUGACUUGGGGGCUUCACUUGGGUUCCAACUACUUUUAAGUUUUAACCAGAAAAAUAAAUACAUGUGUAUUUAAGGCCACAAGAUUAAAUACAAACUUUAUCUUAAAAAUAACUCAUUCAACAUCUAAAAUUUAUAAAAUUGAUUUUUUUUUUAAAAUAGAAUUUAUCACUUGUUUCCUUUUUAGUUUUAUACUAAAUGUUUAGCUCAGUUGAUACAGUGCAUAAUAUAUGCAAAAUCCAGGGUUCGAAUAUUGGACGCCAUCAAAAAGAAAUGUUUUUAAAAAGUUAUUAACAAGAUUUUUUCAUGGUAAAUUCUAUCCACUAAACUACUUGAUAAAAAAAAUAUAAAAAAAAAAAAAAAAGACAGCAUCCAUAUUGACGUUAGUAAAUCUUAUGAUAAUUUAUCGAAAAAAUAAUAAUAAAUAAGAAUUUACAUAGAUAUGUUAUUUCGGCCAUACCCCAGUGAAAGUUGAGAAUAGAUAAAAGGUGUUUGUAUUUGACAUUUUUGUCGAAUAUCUAUACUUUUAAAAAAUUAAAAAAAUACAUGGUUUUUGGAAUAACUUUUUCAUUUCUAAUUAUACCUCUAAGCAAAUCUGUCUAGAAGAAAUAGAAGAAAUAUAUAAUUGAAUCCUGUCAUCUUUUAAUUUUUCUAAUUACAUUUCAUGUAUUCAUGGUUACACACUAAAAUGAUAAAAUUAUCCUUAAAUAAAAUUUAAUUUAAUCUUAAACUCGGUUUAAGUAGGUCAUGUAAACUUAAUUUUAGUAGACAAUGUAAACUGAGUUUAAGUGUAACACUUUAAGUAAGUUAUAUAAACUUAGCUUAAGUAGGUCAUGUAAAAUGAUCAGUUUAAGUGUACAUACUAAAAGUUAAAUUUUGCUUUAACCUCUUCAACCUUGUUUAAUGAUUCUACAUAAUCUUAUUUUAAGUAUGUACUUGUAAACUCAACUUAGGUAGACUAUGUGACUAAAUUUACAUGUACCCACUUAAACUGAAUUUAAGUUAACCUCAACGAUGUUAAUUAACGUUGUUUAUGUUGCACCAUUAAAUAAUCGUGUUGUAAAGUGCAUAACAUAUCAACGUUUGAACAACAAAGAAAAAAAAUCGAAACUCUAGCAUCAAUGAAAAAGAAGAAGAAAUUCAAUUAUUUAUAUGCAAUAGAGUAUGGACGAAAGAUGUUUUGAUUCACUCUUUAAUCUUCUAUAUAGAUUGAUUGACCAUCCAUAAUUGUUUGUGGGGGAAAGCGGGUGAAAUUUUAGAGUGACAAUGAAUGAAAUCAAGGUUUUAAGAAAAUUUAUAUAAAAGAACAAUUUUAAUUUUAUUAUAAAAUUUUAAGUAAAUAUAUGUGUAAUAAGAAAUACAUAGGAUGUAAAAAGAAAAACUCUUGUUAUCAUCAAAACUCAAAGUGGUGUUGUCAAACACAUUUUAUUCCAACAAUAUGUUCGAUAAAACGCAUACAAGUCUGGGAUCAUCCUUGACUUUAUAAUGUUGCGUGCAUUUUACCAACUACUUAUCAACAUUUGUAGUGGCCAUAUAUCAUUGUUUUAAACCUGUUGAUUACACCUAAGCAGCAAUGGAGCUAAUUAAUGGAUUUUUUUGACAAUAAUAGAACCAUAACUACAUGACUGCCUACUUGGAAGCUUGAGAAUGAUGGUGUUUAUACAGUUAAGAAUCCAUACAAGGACAUUAUGAAUCAUGAUAUGGCCCUUUUGCAACAUCGUGUGCCGAGAAAUUGGAAUUAUGUUUGAGUUUAAAGUUGCCACCGUAGCUACCACAAUUGUUUGCCUACUACAAUUCGAUUGCAAUUGAAAGGUGUUUCGUGUACUGAUUUGUGCGCGAUGUGUGAAGACUUUGGUGAAGAUAAUACUUAUUUGUUUUUAUGUGUAGUAAAAGUGUGCUUUGUUGGAAGCACACGAUUUUGGAUUCCUUUGAUGGUAGUCUUCGAUCUUGCUGCAAGUUUCUCGAAAAAUGUGUUUUCUAUUCUAUAACAUCUGGACCAGCAGCAAAAACAAAUCUUUGGUGUGACGCUAUGGAGUAUUUGGAAGAAUAGAAAUAACAAGGUUUGUAACAAUGUUACUGAAACAUCUCAAACUAUUUGUGAACGUGCACGUUCCUUCUCGCUAGCUGGAUGAAUGCCCAAACUAUUCGACACCAUACUUUUCGGCAUUCCAUUACACAGAGCGAUCUACAUAUUGACAUAACCAAGUCCCGACAGGUUCAAAUGCAAUGUAGAUGCUUUCUUUUCUCAUGCUCUGAAUCGAGUCGGGCUAGGUAUGUGUAUUCGAGAUGAUUGUUGAACCAAAAAUCUUUUUGAUGAAUGUUUUAAUAAUAACAAACUUUAUGGAAUAAACACUAAGUUUUAUGAAUGGUGAUCUACUGAUGUUUGCACUUAAGUCUUUUCCGAGAAGUAAACAAGAAAUAAGUCUUUUACAAGUGCAUAGAUAUAUUCAAUGAAAGAAUACCAAAACAAUAGCAUCACAAGCUCAAAGAAGAUAUAGAAAAAAUAUUGUUUGAAUCAAAUGAGUAUUGAUUGAAGAUUCAACAAGAAGAUGUAUUUUAUGAUCAAUUGACUCAUCCUCAUCACCACAUGGUUUUCAACAAAGCAUUAAAAAAUUUGAGGAAUAAAGGGUUAAUAUUUGAAAGACACUUAAUGAACAAGAAACAUUGUGUGGAAUCACUAAGAGGAACUAUGAGAAGAAUUGUAUCAUCAAACAAUUCAAGGUUAAUUGACCAAGAAGAUAUUGUCUUCUUAUAUAGAAGAGAACAUUAUCAACUUUGAUGAAAAGAAGGUUCUCAUGAUGAAGAUGAUUAUUACACUCGAAAUAAUUAGAAUCAACUUUGAAGAGAAACCAACCGAUGAAUAAAUUAUUUAUUAAGUCAUUCAUUAAUUGGAGAACUAUCAAGGAAGACAAAUCAUGAUCAUAUGCAUGAAGAUUCUAUCAUAAAAGACUUAGGAUGAUCCAAGAAUCUUCAAUCAUUUUUCAAGAUAUAAUUUGGGAGAAUAGAAAUCAAUAAAAGGAAUUUUUACUUUGAGAAAGGUUUCUCAUGUUCUUACAAAAGAACAUUAUGGUCAUAAAAAGUGAAGAGAACACCUUCACUUUAUGUUUUUAAAGAUAACACAUAUUUACAUUUAUUAUCUUGUUAUCUACUAAUGUGAGAAUGUUUCAGUGAGAAUGUUCUCAAGAACGUUCUGACCUCGCAAAGAUAACAAAACAUCUUUAACAAAGCAAAUGACAAAAAUCAUCUUUUGAUAAAUGUCAAGAAUGUGCAUAAUCAAAGAUCAAGAAUAAUUGUUAUUCUCUUUGUCUCACCAAAAGAAGGAUCAAUGAUCAUAAAAAUCAAGAUCCUUAAAGGCAUUAAAUGGCAAGAAAUCAAGACAAAUCAAAGCAUUAUGGCACAUGGGCCAUGAUAGCAAAAGAACAAAGAUUAAAUCAUAAUGGCCUUAAAAGAGUGAAAAGAUUCAUUAAAGAAAGGCUUAAAUAUGAUAUUAGUCCCUGUAAUUUGGGUCGGUUUUGAAUUUCGUCCCUGUAAAAAAAAAACUUUGAAUUACAUCCCUGUAAAAAAAAAUUUGUUUGAAAAAGGUCUAUGGCCCCACAUUUUUGAUGAUAUGGCAUGGGUUUUGCCACAUGGCAGUUGCUGACUGUGCAACUUAUGCCACAUGGCGCUGACGUGGCAUGCCACAUAAUAUUAAAUUUAAAAAAAUAAUUUUUAAAUUCUAAAAAUUGUUUUUAAAAUUUAAAAAUAUAAAAAAAAAAUCUGAAAAAAAUUUAAAAAUAUUAAAAUUAUUUUUAUCAUAUAAUUUUCAAAAAAAUUUUUUUUUUUAAAUUAUAAAAUCUGAAAUUUCUGAAAAAAAAAAAUGAAAUGAUUUUUUUUUAAAAUAUGAAGAAAAAAAUAUAAUUUUCAAAUUAAAAAAAAUUAAUGAUCGAAAAUUUAAUUUUAACUGUUUUUUUUCGAUUUUUUAAAUGAUUUUUGAAUUUAUUUUCAUAUUUUUUUAAAUUUUUUAAUUACGUGGCUGCCACGUGGCAAAACCUAUGCCAUAUCAUAAAAAAUGUGGGGCCAGGGACCUUUUUCAAACAAAAAAAAAAUUUACAGGGAUGUUUUUCAAACUUUUAUUUUACAGGGACGAAAAUGAUAUUUAAGCCUUAAAGAAAUAUCUCAAAGUUGUUCCUUGUGGAAAAAGCAUAUGACAUCAUCAUAUAGCAUAAAGAUGACAUAAACACAUCUUAUCAAGUGGCUAGCAAGCUUCUACAACAAUAUUACAGCUGAUAACAACUUGCAAAACGUGUUCCUUCUUUGUACAAGUUUGGCUGGUACAGAGAGAACGUUAUGGAGAACGUUCUGGGUAAGAAAAACCAUCAAAGAAAGAUCUCAAAGUUGUGCCUUAGCAUAUGACAUCAUGCAAUGACAUCAAGCUUGCAUCAUCUUAAGUGGCCUCCAAGGCUUCUACAAUCAGGCAUAUAACUCGUUACAUCUUGCAAAAACGUGUUGCUCUGUGCCCAAGUUAUGGCUGGAAUAGAGAGAACGUUCUCGGUGAACAGUUUCAUGCUUUCUCUCCAAGCAUCAAAUGGAGCCAAUUUAUUUUGAAUUUGAAUUGAGCUCCAAUAGCUCUUUUUUGACUUGUUCUCCAAGGAUACAUCUCCUAUAAAUAGAGGACGUCCAUGAAGGUUAAUAGCAAGAGUUUUGAUAUACAAAAGCUUUGACAUCUCUCUCUCUCUCAAAGCUAAAGAAAUCAUUAUCUUCAUCAAUCUCUUUAACAUCUCUUUCGACAAUCACAAAGCAAACUCCAUAAUCUUUCACUAUAUUUAUCAUCUUUAUCUCUCAUUGAGAACAUCUUUCUGAGUUUGUAUUUGUACAAGGAUAGUUUGUUUGAGACGCUAGAUCCAAACAACAUCUUUCUCAUUUUCGUUUGAGACAUUAGAUCCAAACAAUCAUCUUACAAAGAGAUAACUAGAUCUCAAGUCUAUUGGGCUUAAUAGUUUGAGAUAGGAAGAGUUCCAAGCUUUCUUGUGCAAAAGCAAAGAAUUGUAGAAGCCUGCUGAGGUUGAUAAUACAAGGGUUACAGACUGAUCUGGUGUGAUCAAGACCUUAUAGUGUUGGUUAGAAGUUUCUACCAACUGAAUACUAUAGUGGAUAAUCUCACACGAAAUGUGGGGACUGUGGAAGUAACCGGGAUUGGUGAACCAGGAUAACUCUCCUGUGUUAUUCUUCUUUCUCUCUCCCUCUCUAUCUUUUAUUUUUACACAAUAUGCACACACUAUCACACUCAUUAAUAUUUAUAACUCCUCUCUCCCUCCCUCUCUCCUGUGUUAUUCUUCUUUCUCUCUCCCUCUCUCUAUCUCUAAGAUAUUCUGGUCCUAAUUAAUCACAACCAAAUUAAUCCAGAGUUCUCUGGUCGUUAAAUAACCAUUAAUAUUGUUUUAUCAUUCAGCUUAAUAAUUAAUUAUAACUGCUUUAUAUUUAUCCAGAGUUCUCUCGUCCUUAAUUAACCAUAAGAUUAUUUUAUCAUUCAGUUUAAAUAAUUAAUUAUAUAAUUAUUAUCCAGAACAUUCUGGUCCUUAGUAAAACUGCUUAAUUAUUUAAACCUUACUUUAUCCAAAACAUUCUGGUCCUUGAUAAAACAAUUGUUUAAAUAUCUAAAUAUUUUAUAAUCUUCUUUUAUCUAACAUUUACCAAGAAUUUUCUUGAGUACAUAAACUUGUUAAGUUUCAGGAUUAAAUUUAAAAAGGGUCACAAUUCAAACCCCCCCUUUCUUGUGACUAUUUCUUCCACUUCAAUGAUGAGAGGUUGUUUUGUGUUACCUAAAACCAAAUGGUUGACUCCGGUCCUUGAUGUGGACUUGAAGAGGCUUUAGGUUUAUUAUAAACAUUGUAUUGGGUGCGUGAUCUAUAGCUAGGUAUUGUGGAUUUUGGCCUUGAUUCCAAAAAUGUGGUGGAUAGUCUCUAUGGUAGAAAAAGUAACGUUACUAAUUAUAGUGCAGUUAUAAUUGAUUGUAGACGCAUGUUAGCUUGUGAUUUAGCAAUUGAUGAUGUUAGGUUUAAUCAGAGACAAGCCUACGAAGUCGCUGAUGUUAGUUUCUAUAUUCAUACUAAGAUUACAUCGUGUAUCUCAACUAUUAUGCAAUAAGUUUCUUUAUGUCUAAAAAUAAUAAUUCAUUUUCUACUCAUUGUCCAAGAGUAGCACCUCUUAAGCAACCAUACAUCAACACCACUUCAGCGCCACCGUCAAGGGCACCACCAAACAAUGACUCUACCAUAACUCUUACAUCCUCGCCGUAGUCAAAGUCAUUGAAUCCCACCCCCAUCGUCGAUCUAUGAUUUUCCCCUGGUUCCGUCCUGGCCUCGACCAAAACUACAAUCGCCACCAUAAAAGGUUCUAUCUUCACUCCCGUCAUCGGCACCACCUCCAAAACCACCUAAUUGCAUCUCUAUUUACGGAAUCAUUGACUUUGAGGACAAGGUCAAUUUUGAAGAGCAGAGUAGUGAUAACAUUAACCAAGAGGAAGAAAUUUCGGAUAACGUAUAACAAAUGAUGUUAAAGUGAAGGGAUUGCAUUACUAUCCAGGAACAAUAAGAUUAGCAGAUAAUAAUAGGAAGGUAGUUUUAUAUUUGUUUGUUAUGUUCUGAGUAAUAAUAGAUAAUUUAGUUGUAUAUCCUUAGAUAUUAAUAACUUCGUUUUUUUUUGUCAAAUUGUCUAGUGGUUAAAACUCACAUAUUUUUUAUUAAAAAAAAAAUAACUAACACAUUUUAAAUAUGGACAUAAGUAUUUCGUGAUUAUAUAUUACCGAAACUUCUCUGAAGGACAUAAAUCUAUAUUUCAUUUCUUGAUUGCUUUUCAGAGAAGUUUCGAUAAUAUAUAAUACAAUAACAAUAUUGACUUGGGUUCCAGUCUACUUUCUAUAAAAAAUAAAAAAUAAAAUGGGUUUAUGCCACGUUGUAUAAAAUAACAAUAAUAAAAUAAAUAUAAUAACCAUAUUAAUUAAUAAAAAACAAAGAUAAGAAAUGUGAUUAAGAAAGGAAGGAAGGAAAAAUCCAAAGUGUCUUCUAGGAGCAAAGGUGUCAUGACAUUAUUAUUAGUAUUUUUAUGGAACAAUAUUUAGGGUAGCAUGCCUCAUUCUAGUUAAGAAAAAAUUCAAGGUUCAAUAAAUGCUUGCAUAAAUUCUUACAUACUAUUCAUUAAUUAAAUAUAAGUUGUAUUCUUACUAAAUUGCUGACAUGACAUUAUUCUUUAACAAGCAUACAAAAGAUAUGACAUUAGAGAUAGUGACCCUUUAAGUAAAAAUAUGUACAUCCUCUAGUUAAUAUUAUAAACAAAAAUUAGCAUUUUAUAUUCAUUCAUUAAAUUAUAUAUGUGGUUAAUAAUAAAGACUAUAUACAUUAUUUAAUGAAUGAAUUUGUCAAUAUGCGUGGUCAGAUCAGAUGCAUAAAUGUGUAAGACGCUGGGUGAAUAAAAGAUCUGGAGUACAAAUCCGAACCACCAAAAAAAACUUACAUUGUGAAUUCAAUUUCCUAUAUUAAAACUUACGGUGUGAAUCUAAUUUCCUGUAUUAAAACUUAAGGUGUGAAUCUAAUUUUCUAUAUUAAACUAAAUAGCUGUUAGAUGAGGUCCAUUUCUUUUUAUUUGUUUCUUACCAAUCAAUUUCAGUAACCUUUAAACAAAUGUCAUAUUGUUGAAUCGUGAACUUUCUUCACACGUUCAAUGGCUGGUCCAAUUUAGAAAAUAUUAAUGAAUACAUGCUUUGAUAAAUUAUUUAUCAAAAACUGAUUUAUAUACUUUUUACACACAAGGAAUUGAGUUGGACAAACCCCUUCACUCCGACCUCAUCCCCCAAUCCCUCCCACCGCCAAUUUCAAGUGUGUUUAGCUGAGAAAAAGUUAUGUAAUGUUUUGAAAAAGUUAUAAAGUAUUAUGUUUAAGUUAAAUUGAGUGAAUUUUAAAUGAUAUUUAAGAUCUAAGAAUUUCAAAUUAUUUCCUAUUAGAUAUAUCUUUCAAAAUUUCCAAGUUGGUCCCCAUAUUUUUCAAAAAAAAUAAAUUAACCCUUAAAUAUUUAAAAUAAAUUGCAAAUUGAUCCUUACAAUUUCUUGAAAAUUAUAAACCGCUUUCAAUUUUUGAAUUCUACAAAUCAGCCCUCAAUUUUUCAAUUUUUCAAUUUGGCCCAAAAUUUUAUAAAAUAUAAAAGUAAGUAGCACAAAAAUAUAACUGAAGUAUUUUAUCACUGUAUCCAAACAAAAAUAUUAAAAAAUAAAGGGAUCUAGCGUCGAUCAUCUCACAAGGUGUUGGGAUGAUUUAUACCGCCGCUAUGAAAAUUAGAACUUUAAGUGCUUGUUUGGUGUAACACUCCUAUUUCUAUUAAAGCAAUUAAACAUGCAAAUAAUACAUUUAUUCAAGAAAUAGAGGCUACGCCACAUUCAAAAUUCAAAAACCAAUAAACAUGUAUAUAAACCUCAACAGUUGCAGCGGAAUAUAAAUCAGAGUAAUCCAAAUGUAUACAUGUCAUGAAUAAUAAAUUACAUCACAUAGAUGCAUCUCAAAAAUCCCAAACAAAACGGAUAAUCUCCAACAUAACAAAAUCCAAAAAUAACCUAAUCUAGACCGACACAACAAGCCUAGAUCAGAGCCAACUCAACACCGAUAUCGGAGAAAGCUCCCGAUAUCCCAAGCACAAACUCACCAAGCACUACUCCUGCACAACGUCUACCCAUCCAUACAGAUAGGUAGGCGGUUAAAACCACUAGGGUAAGUAUUACAUUAUCAUAAUCCAAAUAACAGAUAACAUGAGUAUUUCAAUAUAAACAUCAUGCAUUUGAUCAAUAGUAAUCACACAUUAAUACUUACAUCACAUCCCAAUAUCUCACAUCAAUAAUCAUCAAUCACAUAAACAGUUAACAAUUCACAAAUAUUCAUUCACAAUCUCCAAACACAAAUAUUCAUGAAUAGUCAUUAAUCACAUUUCACGAACAAUCACCAAUCACAUUUAUCAAACAAGACUCAUGUCAUGAUAUGCACUUAUUGACACAUAAAUGCAUGUGGUACCAAAUCUCCAAAAGGUCGUCACCUCCGAUGGAACAACUCAACAUCGUAUGUAAGGGUUCACACCCGCCUUACAUAAUCUCCGAAGUAAAAGAGCACAACCUUUUUACAACUACACGACUAUGAUGCAUGGACAUGUAAAAAAACUAGAUAAUGCGACAACAAUCACAAUUUUCUCCACAAUAUAUAGGAAAACACCCAAUUAUAUUGUUCAUCUCCACAUCAUUUGCAUUAUCAAGAAAACAUGCCCAUUCAUAAUUAAAUCAUAGUAUUCAUCAUUACACAUCAACGUGAUUAUCAAUAAUCAACGAUGUCAUUCAAUCAUCAACUAUCACAUAUAGUUUCACAAAUUCAAACAUUCCUUACAUCUUAAGUAAGAUAGCAUACACUUCUCAUGAUAAUUAUCAUAUCCAAAAUACAAUCAUUCAUUCAUACAACUUCACUUAGUCAUAUAAGAAUGAUCACAACAAUUCAUAAGACAAUACGACUUAAAGAUUCACUAGACCCCCUUUUCACAAGGUUAAUUCUUCCAUAAAAACACCCCUAGAUGAUUAGGAUAAAGUCCCUAUACAUAGAAAUAAGUUUGGAAACAAUUGGAUCAAAGAAAAUUGCAUUUUAAAAGUUUCUGGUCAGGCAAAAUCGUAGUCCGAAUUUUCCCCAUCGUAGUACGAUUUUUUUCGAGCUGAAACAACCCAAAAUCUGGUCAAAAUCGUAGCCCGAUGGAUAAAAUUGUAGUCCGAUUUCUGCCUGACAGACAACAUCAGAUUUUCCAAUUUUCACGUUUUCGCGCGUAAAAACCAAACCGUUAAUCCGUUUUCGGUGCCGUUUUCACCUACUUGUUCAUGACACUUAGCCCUAUCUUAAUGUACAGAAAAAUUCAAGUUUCAACAUUCCCAAAUUCAUUUUUCAAAGCCUUACACAACACUCAUUUUCCAAAACGGUUAACAAUUGAAUUUUCACCCGAAUCUCCCGUUUUCUCCCAAAACGACUCGACUAUCACAACUACAACCUAAAAACAGAAAUUCCAUCAAGUUUAACUCAUCCAACCACAUAGACAACUCAGUCAACAACUUUGUAUAUCAAAUUUCACUUUGGUCCUUCACAUGACCAUCUAGCACAACUUCACCAAUACAAACAACUUACUUCAUGAAAUGGAAUACCCAUGUUAUCAUUCAACAACAUCAACAUAUCUACUUUAACAACACCUCAUUUAGACAUGAAUUCAAUCAUAAUUCAAUUACACAAUAUCCCAAUCCAACAAUUGAGCAAAACACAUAAGUAUCCAUUUUCACCAAACCAACAACAACAACUUAUUUCACAACAACAAACUAUGAAUCAUGCAUACCCAAGCCAUGAAUUAGCAUCCAUAACAUCACUUAACAACAACAACAUCUAUUGAUCAUGAAACAUAUCACAAUUCAUCAACAACCAUCCAUAAUUCACCAUUUGAGCAUAAUUUACAAACUACCCAUUUUCAUACAUCAUGAACUUGCAAUUUCAUAAUCAACAAUUCAUUUAACAUCAAAUUAACACAUUCAAACAUAUCUCUACAACAUAAGCAAGAAUUUCAAAGAUUGGGUUCAUGAUAAUCACUUAUUCCCAUAAUCAAUUAUGCAUAGAACAAGAGAAAAAGAAUUAACUAAAUGAUUAUGAUAAAGACUAACCCCCUUACCUUAGAUGAAGAUUAACCCAAACUCUUGCUUCAAUUCAGCUCCUAAGCUUACCCAAAUUGAUUCCUCAAGCUAUUCUCUUCAAAACCCUUGUUCUUCUCUUCACCUCUUUCUCUCUCUACCUCUCUCUCUAGGAAAAUUUUAUGAAGUGAAUGAAAGAUAUUUUUUUUCUAUGACAACCCUAAUGUUAUCUCCCUUAAUGGGCUUAACUUAGUUUCUAGUGGGCUUAACCCAUUUCUAUUCAAACCACAAAUAUUUCUCUUUAACUAAUAACGGUAAAAUAUAACCAACGGUCACUAAACGGUAAAAACUAAUCACUACACUAGUAACUUAGUAAAAUAAGGGUUCUCACUAAAUAUUAAAGAUAAUUCUUACCAAAAUUUCCAUUUUACCCUUACCCGCCAAAUGACCAAAUACCCUUCUAAUACGGUAAUCUAUGUAAAUGCACCCAAUGACAAUUAAAUACACACAAGCACAAAUAAUCACAAACAAACACAUAAUAAAAGUAAUUAAAAUAAAUCUAGCUAAAAAUCGGGCUGUUACAUUUGGCACCACGUUUUUGGGCUCCAAACGUGGUUUAUUUUUGCCAAACGUGGUGUUGCACUUUUACAUGCUGUUUGGAUGACGAAAAAGCAAGUUUCUGAAAAGCGGUUUAUGUCUCCAAAACGCAAUUUUCUUGAAGCUGGAAUUCGGAGCUUCUACGGCAGAUAAAAACCACGUUUAAGCCUUUAAUUUCUCAAGUGGCAGGUACUUACCUAAUUACCCCUAAAUUCAAGCCUUCAAUUUCUCUUUCUCAUAGUUUUCUUCCUUUUCAUUACUUCACAUCACUUUCAAACUUAAAUUUUCUGCUAAUUGUGAAGAUUUUGCAUAUCCAAGAUUUCAAUUAUCUUCAGCUUUUCCCCAAUUUUUUCAGAUUUCAUGGUUAAUCUCAUUACUCAUGGUAGAUGUGUUGUUUGGGUGAAUUUAUUCCUUCAGCUUUUCCCCUAUAUAUGAUGCUUAUGAGCUACUUGUGAGAACCAUUCCAUUGCUCUGCCAAGGCCUGAAGGUAAAUACAUAUUCAUAUUUUUUUUGCUUUGAUUACUUGCUUCAAUAUUGUUAAUUUCUAUUUCUCUUUGCUCUAUUUGUUACAAGUUUUACAUUAAUUUUUCCAUCCUACAUCAAUGCAUUGUAUGUGUUUGAUAAAUAGUCUCAAAGAAAAAAAAAAUUCUUAUAUUGAUAUGUUUAUGUUGAUGAAUUUUCUUGACCUGUAGAAGUGAUUGUUUUGUUAUUAUUGAUGUUUAUCUUUAUUUUUAUUUUUUUUUAUUUUUUUGUGUUUUUAGCAAGGAGUCUAUUGUUUUUGUUUAAGGUACUUGGUGUGUUCAAAGUAAUUGAAUGAACUAACGUAAGAAAAGAAACUUAUAGCUUCAAGCCAUUGUUGUAAUUCUAAUUUUUGUGCCUUUACAAAAAAUUCCAAAGUAACAGAAUUUCUUCUAACACAAAGUAACAGAACUCACUCUUAGCACAAAGUAACAGAACUUCUUCUUGUAUUGUUUUUGUUUUCUGUUAUCAUUUUCAUUUGCACAAAACAAGGAUAUUGGUGUUAGUUUGAUCAAGUUGCUUAUGUAUAGUUUGUUUCAUUUUUUUUUUUGGGUUAAUAUGUCUUUACCCCCUGUAAUUUGGGCGAGUUUCGGUUUACCUCCUGUAAAAAUAAAAGUUUAGAUUCCAACCCUUUAAUAUGAAGAUUCUUCAAAAAACACCCCUAUAAUAUUAAGAUUCUCCACAAAACACCCCUGACCCCAUCCAGACGCUGAUGUGGCACGCCAUUGUGUAAUUAUUUUAAUUUUUUUUAAAACCUGACACAUGUGUAAUGGACGCUGACUGUAUAAUUUUUUUUAUUUUUUUUUAUUUUUUUAAAGGGUACACGUGGCAUUUGUGAUUUUAAAAAAAAAUAAAAAACGAAAACAAUUAUGGAAAAAUUAAUAAAAAUAAAAAAUAUUCUGAAAAAUAAAAAAAAAUAGCGAAAAAAUUAAUUAAAAUAAAAAAUAUGAUUAAACAAAUUCCGGAAAAUUUAAUAAAAUAAAAAAUAAUCUGAAAAUUUUAAUAAAAAUGAAAAAGAAUCUGGUAAAAUGAAAAAUAAUGAAAAAAAUUUGGAAAAAUUUUAAAAAGUUCUAGAAAAUUUUAAAAAAUAAUAAAAAAAUCUGGAAAAAGUUAAAAAUAUGAGAAAAAAAAUUUAUAUUUCUGGAAAAUUCAGGACCUUAAAAUAUUUCAAAAUUCUUGAAUAUAAUAAGAAAAUAUAUUUUAUUUUUAAAAAAAAAAGGUUCAGAUUUUUCUUUCGAAAUUAAUUUUUUUUUUAUUUUUUUAUACAAAAAAUAAAAAUAUUGGAAAAUAUUUCAAUAAUUAGAAAAACAUAACAUUAGAACAUGAAGAAUAGAAUUAAGGGCUUGUUUUUCAAUAGUAUAACAUGACUUAUAUACCGGUGUCAAUCAAAAUUCAUUGUAUCUUGUUAUUCAUCUAGAUUAUAUUUUCGAAUAAAAUAAAAUUCUAGAAAUAAAUUUUCAUAAUCAAAAUAACUAUAUAAUAUUAUAUUUUUCGAUUUUUUUAUAAUUUAAAUUUAAUUCAGAUUUUUUUUUAUAUUUUUUGAAAAUUUUGAUAUAUAUAAAUUUUUUCCAGAAUUUUUUAUUUUUUUUGAACUUUUUCCAGAUUGUUUUGUUUAUUGUCGUGAUUUUUUUCUUAAAUUUUCUAGAUUUUUUAAUUUUUUCAGAUUUUUUUUAUUAAAUUUUCUAUAUUUUUUCAUAAUUGUUUUUUCAUUUUAAUAAUGUUUCUAGAAUUUAUUAUUUUAUUUUUAUUUUAAAAAAAUAUAUACAAAUGCCACGUGUACCCUUUAAAAAUAAUAAUAAUACAGUCGUCACGCUACAUAAUCAGAUAUGCACAGUCAGCAUGCCAUUUCAGCUCGCCACGUCAGCAAUUCUGUACAGUCACAUAGGUCAGGGGCUAAAGUCAAAUAAUCUUAUUUUACAGGGUUGGAAUCUAAUCUUUUUUUUUACAGGGGGUAAACCGAAACUCGCCUAAAUUACAGGGGGUAAAUACAUAUUAACCUUUUUUUUUUUUUUUAUCAUACUUUUGUGUAUAUAGUAAUAUGGACUCACUUAAGAGAAAAGUUUCUGCUAACCCCCCUUCAACUAACAAUGAGGGUCAAAGUUUCAAAGCUAGUUUAAAUAUUAGUUUGCAAUAAUUUUCAAUAUUAUAUUGCACUUGAACUUAUAUUAUCUAUUAUCUAUAUGUAAUAUACUUUAGAGCCUUGCCAUUUUUUAUACAUAUUUAGAAAUCUAUGAUUAUGUAUUAAUAAUUUACGUAUAUUUUAGUUUACAAUUGUGUAAUUUCUCAUUUGUUUUACAUCUUUUUAUGCUUAUAUUAUUUUAUUAAAAAUCACCCAAUUGAUAAAAAAAAAUAAUAUUAAAAAUAACAUAAAUUUAUAUUAUUUUAAAAUUAAUUUUAGAACCAAUAGAAUUCAUGUAUGAUAAGUUGAAAUAAUUUUUUUUUAUGAGAAUGAGUUUUAAAUACAAUUAAAAUGAUAGUUUAGUCAUUAUACAUUCAAAAUCAAUUUUGAUUCAAACUAUCCAAACAACAUCAACCCGCAAGAAUCACUUUUAGUAUCCAAACAUAAAUCAAUUCACAUUCAACUCACUUUUAACCAAAAUCAAUUCUCUCAAACUCAAUUCUAUCAAAAUCAAUUCUCCUCGCCGCCAUACCAAACACACACUAAGAUUAAGAAGGAAAAGAUGAAGGGAACUGGCUACAAAUGGUAUUAUUAAUGUGGCUUGGUGGAACUCUUUACCCUUCUUUACUAGGGAUGACUUUUAUAAAGACCACUAUGGAUUUUUAAAUUAUCGUUCUCCAUAUCUCUUUGUAUUUUAAUUUUGUUUUUUGUUUUGGUUUGGUCCUCCUCUAGUACGGUUUUUCAUUUUUUUAAUAAUUUUUUUUUAGAUCAAGCUGGCAUAGGAUGGGGUGGUUUUGGAGUGUGAACAUAGUUGGAAUGUCAAACCUUCUUUUGAUGUCUUCUUUUGCUCAUGAUUUAGAAGGAAAAAAAAAAUUUAAUUACAAUAUAUUUCUCUAAAUUGAUUGAUUUCUUUCCUAAAGACACAACAGAAUUAAUCAACUAUAAUUGAUUUAUUUUUUUUACUUGGAUGAAAGUGAUUCAUAUGCCAAACAGAGCCUAAGUAAUUAAAAUAACAAAUUAGUUUAAAAAGGUAACUACCUGGAAUACGCAUUAGAAUGAAUCAGUAUUAGAGAGAUUAGAAACACCAGUAUUGAUUUGUGAGAAAACCAAGAUCUUUGAUCUGUAUCAUUUAAAAAGGAAAGACCAUCAACAGAACCAUUAUCAUUCUUCUUGUCUUUCUUCUUUUUUGACACAAAAUCAUGAAACUUGAGUAGCUAUACUGCAAUAGGGAGAAAAAGGAAGAAGAAAGACGAUUCAUUUAGUGAUGAAGCAGAAGAAGUUUGAAGAAAGUGGUAUUGCUAGCUUCAAUGACAUUGCUGAGGAAAAUAAAUAGAGAUCUAUACACAAAAUUAUGAAAGACAAGAAGAUUCAUACCAAUUGAACAGCAAGGAUGUUUCUGGUCAUCUUCAUUUUCAAUGUUGGAGCUUAUGACUUCACCUCCAAUUGAUGUAGGUUGUAACUCAUCAUUAUAAUUUCCCUGGCCAUCUUCACUUUCAUUGUUAGACCAAUCAGACCCCACACCAAUUUCCCAACCAUCCAGAUUCGACUUAUGUUCUAAGUUAUAUACAGGUAAGACCCCACACCCCUUUAUCCCCUCUGUUGACCACCACAAUUCUUCAUUGAAAUCUUGAUGCAUGAAUUGAAAUGAUAGGUUGCAAUCAUUACUUCCAUGUUUCCGUCUGUUGUAAGGAUGCCAACAUAUCAAUACGUGAUCUGAAAUUAAUGUCCCAUUAUAUUCGUAAACAACAAGAAUACACUUGUCGACUUCUUUGCCGUGUUCAAAGAUGACACAAUGCAGGGGGUGAUUGAGAUCAUGGAAGCCCUUAGAAAGAAUGGUGCAGAAUACGAAACCAGACAGGUUAUAUUUUGGAAUCGGAGGAAUGGUUAUUGAAGCCUUCAUUGUUUGAAAAUCAAACUUGCGAGGAACUUGUGCUCCUGGCAAGAAAUAGACAUCAUAAUAGGAACGGUUAUUGACAUCUUUAUUUGCAUGAAAAGGGUCUUUAGAGAAGAUUUGUACUAUGUUCUCAAGAAAUGACCGUUGAGUGGAGUCUGUGUCCAGAUAAGUGCAAUUAAUGGCACUCAAACAUAAUAGGGAUGGCGGAAGCUCUGUUAGAGACACAAGUUUCCUGCAAUCAUCUAAAACUAGCCAUUUUAGCAUUGAAUGGUUUCGUAUGUUCUCAGGGACACAUUCCAAGUUGCAACAAUCUUGCAAUGAGAGCCGUUUCAAAGAUUGUAUGCCAUCAAGGAUGGACCACAGACUUAAUGCAUUGAUUUCUGUGCACCGUGAAAGGUUUAGUUCUAUAACAGACCCAAGUCCAUGAUCAUCUGAUAACUUAUUCCCAACAAUGUUAAGCUUGUUACACUCGGUUAGGGAAAGAGAAGUAAGUUUUCUGUUACGCCAAAUCGAUGAAGACAAUUCACGUAUAGCAGUGCCAUCUAAGGUCAACUCUGUCAUUUCAUCCGAUGUCACUGAGAAUUCUGUGAGAGAAGAACAACCAUCGAGUAAGAGUUCACAAAGAGAUUUUGAAUGAAUGUUGGUUUUAAGGCUUUCAAUCUUUUUGCAACCUCGUAAAUCUAGAUAUCUA
rnacentral:lncRNA from 1 species